rnacentral:rRNA from 1 species
GACGAACGCUGGCGGCGUGCUUAACACAUGCAAGUCGAGCGGUAAGGCCCUUUCGGGGGUACACGAGCGGCGAACGGGUGAGUAACACGUGGGUGACCUGCCUCUAGCUCUGGGAUAAGCCCGGGAAACUGGGUCUAAUACUGGAUAUGACUCCAUGACGCAUGUUGUGGGGUGGAAAGCCUUGUGCGGCUAGAGAUGGGCCCGCGGCCUAUCAGCUUGUUGGUGGGGNGAUGGCCUACCAAGGCGACGACGGGUAGCCGGCCUGAGAGGGCGACCGGCCACACUGGGACUGAGACACGGCCCAGACUCCUACGGGGAGGCAGCAGUGGGGAAUCUUGCGCAAUGGGCGAAAGCCUGACGCAGCGACGCCGCGUGAGGGAUGACGGCCU